rnacentral:rRNA from 1 species
ACAUUACUGAAUUGUCAAACGGGUUGUUGCUGGCCCUCAUAGGGGGCAUGUGCACGCUCUGUUUACACAUCCACUCACACCUGUGCACCCUCUGUAGUUCUAUGGUUUGGGGGACCCUGUCUUCCUUCUGUGGUUCUACGUCUUUACACACACACUGUAAUAAAGUUUUAUGGAAUGUACAUCGCGUCUAACGCAAUACAAUACAACUUUCAGCAACGGAUCUCUUGGCUCUCGCAUCGAUGAAGAACGCAGCGAAAUGCGAUAAGUAAUGUGAAUUGCAGAAUUCAGUGAAUCAUCGAAUCUUUGAACGCACCUUGCGCCCCUUGGCUAUUCCGAGGGGCAUGCCUGUUUGAGUAUCAUGAACACCUCAACUCUCAUGGUUCGCCAUGAUGAGCUUGGACUCUGGGGGUUUUGCUGGCCUGUGGUCAGCUCCUCUCAAAUGAAUCAGCCUCCCAGUGUUUGGUGGCAUCACGGGUGUGAUAAAUAUCUACGCUCGCUGUUGUCUGCCAGGUAACCUUUGGUCACAAAGGUUUGCUGGAGCUCACAGAUGUCUCUCCUCAKCGAGGACAGCUUUUUUAACGUUUCGAUCUCAAAUCAGGUAGGACUACCCGCUGAACUUAAGCAUAUCAAUAAGCGGAGGAAAAGAAACUAACAAGGAUUCCCCUAGUAACUGCGAGUGAAGCGGGAAAAGCUCAAAUUUAAAAUCUGACGUGCCUCUGG